ensembl:lncRNA
CAAGGAAACUCAUAUUUAAGUGAAGGAGAAGCAGGAAGGGUCCCUCUUUUCCCCUGCUCCUGCUCCAGCGGCACAAUGUGAUCCACCAGCAAGGAGGGACACCAAUAAGACAUCUGACAAGAUAAGUCUUAUAAAAUAUAUAGGUUUAUGACAGUUAAGACUGAGCUAACAUAUGAGAAUCCUAGUCAUUGGCCAAGCAGCAUUGUACCUAAUAUAAGUAUCUGUGUAUUCAUUUGGUCCCUAACUCAGGCAGGCAGCUGGUGUAAAGCUCACACCUGGUGGAGGGGCUCAGGUGGCUUUUGGUGGAAGGAUUUAUCGUAACAGAAUGGGUGUCAGUGAGCGGGAUGACUCCAUGCCCCAAGGUUCCCGGAGAAAGAGGGAAACCUGUCACCACAUCCUGUCCUGUCAGGCCUCUCAGAAGCAGCUUCCAUAUGCAUGCAGUCCCAGCGCUCUUGGACAUUGGACUAGGCAUUUCUGAGAAAAUCAAAAGCUGUGGAUUCCUUCCAGACUAAUAUGGUUUGAUCAAGCAAGACCCCCUGAAGCUGAGAUGACACAGCCUUUCACACUACAAAAACAAGGACGUGAUGCCAGGUGUGGACAUUCAAAAGUCAAAUCCUUGAGAUCAAAGAAACAAAGUUUGAUCCUGUUGAAAUGUUCAGCCACAACUCACUCAUAUGACUAGAGAUUUUAUGCUUCAUGAGGUGCUUACAUACUUUGUUGUUAAAAAUGUUUAUUAACUUUGAAAAUACAAUACUUUCCUCCUCAGAAUACUAUAGAGUGUGAUGUGGUCUUAACUUGUAUUAAAGAAGCAUACAUGUUUGCAAUGAAAAUUUGAUUAUUUUGAUUUAAAAAUUGUUUUAAGGUCAAAGUAUUGCUUAACAAACAGGUAAUUAAAAUUCUUAAUAUUUGAUGCCAAGUAGAUAAUAGUUUUGAAAACACAAAGGCUAAAGGUAAAUGAAGGUGAAAAUACCUAUAUAUAAAAUAAAUUGUUAGGGGAAAUAGAAACACUUGUGUCUAUUUGCCAGCAGUGGCAGGAAAGACUGAAAUCAAUGGAGCUGACCAACUGACAAUAGUCAUGUCUGCAUUUAUUUAUUUAUAAAUAUUUAUUAAGGACAUUCUGAAUCCCAAGCAAUACCCACCAAUGCCUUCCCUCAAGUGUUCAUAAUCCACUGGAUGAGAUCAAUACACAAAGGUUCUCAGGUACUAAAUGGAUGGCAUUGCAGGUAGUCACUACAGAAUUAAAGAAGAGAUGUGAUCCAGUAUAAUGAAGAGAUAUACACAGGGAGGGAACGAAGCCAAGGAACAAAGUCAGAGGAGAAAGAGGUUAGAGAGUAGUCCUGGCAGACUUCUCCAGGUGAGGAAAAACAACAAACAUGUUCUGCACACACAUUGAGUGAGGACCUAUGACAUGGGUUAAUGAUGAGAGAUUUACUAGAUCAAAACUACUCUGGAUUAUGAAGUAGUUUUCUCCUUUCUUGUCUCUGCUACUCCAAAGGAAAUGUUAUCUCAGUCUGAUUCAUGCUUUCAAUUACUAGUGAAGGAAUUCCUCAGGUUUUUUAUCGUCAUCUAAGCCCUGGUCCAUCCUGUCCAGCCUAUGUUCUUUGAAUAUGUGGCCAUACUCUAGUAAACAGAGUAAUGCAGAGUAAAUGUUUAAGAUUAGUGUUCUAAUGUUUACUACUUAUUUACAUGCCCUCUAGGAGAACCCACAAAUAGCAACAAGGAAGGAUGGAUAUUCCAGUAGGUUCUUUGCCUGACAGAACUUUAUUCAUUCAAACAUGGUGGACAUGUGGACUUAUUCAAUUUCUGAACAAUCUUUCUGCUUCCUGCUACAUUUUAGCCUUUCCAUCAGUUAUAUUACAUGAUAACAGUCAUAUUUAUUUAGUACGCUAAGCAUAUAGUAUUUUCUAGGCAUGCCCUUGAGAUUCUUCAUAAUAAAGACUCAAGUAGUGGUGGUAAUGGUUACCUUCAUUACUUUAUAGGGUCAGUAAUCUAGAUAAUUUGCCUGAUAUCACAGGCCUUAAAAACCUGGCUCCAGAAUUUGAGUGUAAAGCUCUUAAAAGUAUAUAAACAGAAGAAAUAAAUUUUCCUCAUAACAUACACACAAUUUCAAAGGGAGAUGAGAAAAGACUGCUCCUAAAAACAAACAAACAAACAAAAACAGGUAUGCAUGGUCUCUUAAAGGGAUGCUGAAUUCUCUCUAAAGAGUUGUCAAACAAUUUCUGUUAAAUACACCCUUUAGCUUAUUGGAGCUAAGUCAUGUUCAGAAUAAAGAAAUUUAUCCCUGUUAGAUCAACUGACUUAGCCUGCAGGCUGCACCUGCCAUAUAUGUUUUCCCACAUAAUUCCAUGUGCAGUUUUUCAGCAACCCACCCAGCUGUCUCUGUCUCUGUCUCUUUCUCUGUGUCUCUGUCUCUGUCUCUCUCUCUCCUUUCUAUCCCCUUCACUUGCCUUGGAUUUCAGACUUCCCCUGCAGCCACUCUCAGCUCACAGCCAAAGCUAAUUCUCAGAUCAGACAUUCUAUGUUUGACAGCUCACAGCUACUGUUGGCAUAUUUGGUAAGACAAUUGGAAAUUCUUACAGGAAAGAAUUAGUUAAAAGAGAGAGAUUUUCCCACACUAAAAAUUGGAAACACUAUUAAAAUAGAGAUAAUUAGGUCCUUGUAUGUUAUGCAUUGCAUAAUUUAAAAAUGGAAAAAUUAAAUGAAUGAAUAAUCAACUUCACCAGGAUUGACAUACUGUUUUAAUUAUCAUUUUGAUAAUCUUUAUUGUUAGUUUGACAAUUCUUGUUUUGCCUUUAAAUGUUGAUCUGAGUGCCAAAAUACAGGCCUUAGAAAAACUUAUUAAAGCAUAUCACCAAGCUAUUCAAAUCCAGACAGAGGAAUUUAAAGGAGAGUCAAGUUCAGCAUUGCAUCAUAACGUUAGAUUAUGAUUUUCAGACAACUAAACUUAACAUAUCCAUUAACUUUACAGGAAUUGCAAAAUGAUAGAGGUUCUGUAAGAGGUAAUUGGACUCCUGUGCCAAUGUUAGCUAUAAAGAAAUUCAAGGAAGCAGUAGUCUUUAUAUGGCAUGCAUUUAACAUUUGUAAAGCACAUGUAAAACUUGUGGUCAGCUUUUAAUAGAAUUAUUCUUAAAGACAGACAGACUUGGUUAAUGCUGUCUUAGAGCCUGGUUAACAAUUAUAGUGGGGAAACUGGUUCAGAGAUGAGGUUAGGACUGUUAAACAACAGUGUAAAGCUAGAGGGAUGGAAACAUCCCAAAUCAAAUUCUUGGAGACAAAUAUUAUGCUACUAUAGAAAGGCAAUCUCUAUAUGAUGACCACAAGCUGAUUCUAUCCCAUGAAGCAUCUUUGAAUGCUUGGGACAGAAUUGAAGAAGUAGGAAACAAUGAAUCUAAAGUUAUACAGGAUCCAAAAGAAGCCUGCAUGAUUUUUUUUUUACAAAGAUUGGGAUCAGCAAUAAAUAGAUGAUACGAGAUUCAGAAGCUGGACAAAUAAUAAUUGAAUCUCUGGAUUUUGAGAAUGGUAAUUCACAGUGCAAAAGGACAAGUCGUCCUUUAAAGGCAAGAUCAGAACCUUUGGACAAAUGGAUUCUAGAUACACUUAAUAUUGAAGCUCAUGACCAUGAUGAUGAAUGGAUCCAAGAGGUGAUUUCAAGAGUUUUGAAGAAAAAUCAAAAUGUCCAGUGUUUUAAUUGUGUCACACAAAGUCACAUUAAAGAGAGUGUAACCAGGGCAUUUCUAAUAAUUCUUCUUCUAAGCAUAAUCCAAACAGAAUGCCCCUUAUUCUGGAUUAGGCAGAAGGUAUGGCAAAGGCAAGCAUAGGACUAAUGAAUGUAGAUUAAUAAUAAACACUCAAGGCAAUACUUUGCCACCAGGAAACUCUUUGUGUGGGGACUCUUGGAGACCCCUAUACCAAAUCUGUCUCAAUCAUUUCCUGUCACCAUGGAAACUCCUUCCCAGAGCAAUUAAAGAACCUAAUGCAUAUUGUGGGAAAGUAUGCUAUUCUGGAUAAUAGAACAGCUAUAGUAAGAGAACAAAAAUCAGGAAAAAACACAAAGGGAGUAUUUUUAACAAACUUUAUAAAUGAACAAAUACCAAAAUUAAGGUCAUUGAAGGUCUAAUAGACAUAGGUGCAGAUGUAACAAUACUUGCACCAGAAUCUUGGCAUCCAAAUUCAGUAGGUACGUGUUCAGCUAUUAGGGAUUGGAACUUAGUCUCAGAUAAAGCAGAAUGUCAGAUGGGUCAAAUGUAUAGAUCCAGAAGGACAGAGAGGAAUAGUGAACAAAUAUGUUGCUAAUAUUGCCAUGAAUUUGGGGGAUGUGAUUUGUUACAAUGAUGAAAUAUUCAGAUUAACAUCCUCCAAUCUUAGAGACCAUCCAUAAAUUAUUGUAUAUCUCUGGGAAAAAUAUUAGAAGGUAUUAGAAAGAACAGUCACUGACCAUUCAGGUUGUAGAAGAACAGGGCACAACAGCUCCUGAUCUUUCAAAGUUACCAACAGCCCUACCUUUAAAGUAGUUGAAGACAAAACCUGUAUGGGUUGCACAAUGACCUUUAGCAACAGAGAAACUGCAGGUUUUAGAAGAGCUGAUGCAGGAGCAGGUAAAUGCUCAGUAUAUUGAGAAAUCAACCAAAUCUUGGAAUUCUCUUAUAUUUGUUGUUAAAAAUAAAUCUGGAAAAUGGAUAAUGAUAAAAGAUAUGAAACCCGUUAAUAAGGUGAUUCAGCCAAUGGGCUUUCUAUAGUCUGGAAUUCCUUUGUCCUCUUUAUUUCCUAAAGGAUAGCCCCUCAUAAUGAUCUAAAAGAGUGUUUAUUCACUAUACUUUUUCAAGAAAAAAGACAUAGAAAAAAAUUGCCUUCACAUUGCCUCCUUAAAAUAAUUCUCAGCCUACUAAGAGAUAUCUAUGGAAGGUUCUCCCACAAGGAAUAUUAAAUAGCCCCAUCUUGUGCAAUAUUUUGUACAGCAGCCAUUGGAAAAGACACAUAGGCAAUUUCCUCAAACUAUAGUUUACCAAUACAGAGAUGACAUUUUACUAUCUGAUUCAAAGGUAGAUACUUUAGAAUGUUUGAAGAAGUAAAGGAAAUUUUGCCUUGUUGGUGUAAGGAUUCAGGUGUUAUGCUGGCCUGCCCCUGUUAUCUGGAAGAAGGCACUCAGGCAGUACUCUGAUCAGCCCAGGGUUCCAUGAGUACUAGUCUGCAUGCAAGUGCAAAGGACUCCUUUAAAAGAUACACCCUCAGCCACUUACUCUCUUCACUCUCUUGUUCUCUUUCUGCUCUUUCCUCUCUUUUUGCCCCUUCUCUCUCACCCUUAAUCCCCCUCCAUUCAUAUCUCUCUCUUCAUCCCCUUUCACUCUCCCCCCUUUAGUAAACUCCAUGGUUAAUGAAUCUCUUAGUGUUCCAUUGCAAUCUCGUGCCAGUAACUUAUGCAAAAGAGCAACAGUUGGGGAGUUAAAAUUUCUCCUAAAAAAUAGGGAGAUGAGAUUCUAUUAAUUGCUUAAGCUAUAAAAUAGGUUUACAAAAUUUAGGCCCCAAAAGCUGCAAAUUAGGAGAGAUGAGUUGCAGAUGCUUAAUGACUUUCAAAGAUUGCUAGAAGACAUUUCCCGUCUAUGGCACACUAUUGGAACAAAACCUGAUAAACUGAUUAGUUUAAAUAAAACCUUAGAUGAUGACAAUGGUUUAAAUAGUUCCAGGGAAUUAUUAGAUGAAACUGAGAGAGAAUUGGCUUUGGUGGAAGAGAAAUUACAGAUUGCACAUAUGGGUCAUGUGGACCUCAAGCUUAACUACAUUCUGGCCAUAUUACUUUUUAUGAAUUCCCCUAUAGGAAUAUUAAUGCAGAAGGAAGAUAUUUUCUUAGAAUGGAUCUUUUUACCACAUAAACCAAGUAAAAAAUUAAAAAUUCAUGUGUAAAGGUCUCUGAGUUGAUUCUAAAAGGAAAUUGAGACUUUGUUCAUCAGCAGUAAUAGACCCAAAAUAAAUUAAAGCACCUUUUAAUAAGGAUAAACUUGAAAAGUUAUGGCCAUAAAGUGAACUGUGGCAAAGAGAUUGUGGUUAUUUGUGGAACAGAUUAAAAACAAUUAUCCCAAAAGCAAGAGAAUUAAAUAUUUUUUUGGUUUUUCAAGACAGGUUUUCUUUAUGUAGCUUUGAAGACUGUCCUGGCACUCGCUCUGGAGACCAGGCUGGCUUCGAACUCACAGAGAUCUGCCUUCCUCUGCCUCCUGAGUGCUGGGAUUAAAGGCGUGCACCACAAACGCCCAGCGAGCAUUGAACUUUUAAAGAAAACUACAUGUAUCCUUACUUGUAUUGCAUAGGAAACACCAAUAUCUGAAGCCCAGAUAUUUUAUACUGAUGGAAAUAAAUCAAGAAAGGCAGAUUAUAAAUCAAAAAUUUUAAGUAAAGUGGACCUAAGCCCUUAUAAUUCUGUACAAAGGUCAGCGUUAUAUGCUAUUCUCAGGAUGUUGAUGGAUCUUAUGGUACCUAUCAGCAUAGUUACUGUUUCAUAAUAUGCAGAAAGUGUUGUUUUUCAUAUUAAAACCACUGCUUUUAUACCAGAUAAUACAGAAUUGACUUUAUUAUUUAUUCAGUUAUAGGACAUAAUCAGGAAUAGGAAUCAGCCCAUAUAUAAAAAACAUACCUGAUUCCAUAAGGGUCUGCCAGGCCCUCUAGCACAAAGUAAUGAUUAAAUUGAUCAACUAUUGAUAGGAAAUGUGUCAGACAACCUCAGAAUUUUAUAAAAAACAUGUCAAUAGUGAAGGUUUGAAAAAAGACUUUUCCAUCAAAUGGCAACAAGCCAAUGAAAUUUUAAUGAAAUGUUUGACUUGCUCUUUAUAAAACCAAACUCCAUUACCUGCAGGAAGUAUCCUAAAGGAUACUCAAAGGAAUGAAAUCUGGCAGAUGGAUGUGUUCCAUUUUGUAGAAUUUGGAAAAUUAAAACAUGUACACCAUACCACUGAUACCUAUUGAGGUUUUCAAUGGGCAACAGCUUUGAGCUCAGAAAAUGCUGAUUUGGUAAUCAUACAUUUGCUAGAACUUAUGACCAUCUUGGAUAUAUGUUCAAAUUAAUACAGACUAUGCCUCUAGUAAAAUGAAACAGGGUUUUUUUUUUUUGCUUAUUAUACUAUAAAGCAUACUAUAAGUAUACCGCAUAAACCUACAGGGCAGUCAUAGAAAGACCAAAUCAAACUCUAAAGGAUAUGCUAACUAAACAUAUAGGAAUGGUAAAGACUCCCAGGAAUAGAUUGUAAAAUGCUUUACUAACUUUGAAUUUUCUAGAUGCUAAUGAGAAAGGAACAACAGCUAUGGAGAAAUAUUAGAUAAUAGAAAAAAACUAUGGAAAAAAUCAUCUGGUAUACUUUAAAGAUGUGGUGACCUCAGAAUGGAAACCAGGACAUGUGCUAGGUUGGGGAAAGGAUUUUGCUUUUGUUUCCAUAGGAGAAGAAAAUCUAUGGAUACUAUCAAAAUUCAUAAAAUUUUGUUUGAACAAGAGACACAUCUUAAUUAGAUGAUACUUCAUCAAGCAGUAUGGCCAUUUAAUCUAAAUUAACCUACAAAAUUAACAAAAACUUUUCAUAUAACUUGCUGAAAAAAAUCCUCCAUAAAAUUAGGGUUGUUUUUGUUUGUUUGUUUCUUUUCAUGAGAAUAAAGGUAUUCAGCUAAGGAAUCUGCAGACUACUGAACAAAUGAGACGUGAAGAAAAAGAACAAAUCAUCAACAAAAAGCAAAUUGGCUUAUUUACAGUAGCAGUAGAGGCAAGGACACUUCUUGCCCAAUGGCUUACUUUUGCCACAAAAAAGUAAACUCCAUGUGGAGUGUCUUUGAAGUCCAUCAUCUUCUCUGAAGUAGAUUGGUGCUUCUAGGAUCUGACAUGUCUCAUUGUCAUAAAAAAGAACCUACGUUACUAAAACAUCUUAACUGACAUAUUCUGUAGAUCUCUGAAGUGUUUGAAAAUGACAUGUCUUUCUAAAAUACAUCUUUUUGACUUUGAUAACAUACCUAAUAUGACUAUGAUUUCAAUUGUAAUAGGUGACUAUUUGAUAAUCUGUAUUUCCUUAUGAUCCUAUAGAGUUGGUAAUAAUUUACAACAGGAUAAAAGUUCAUGAAUCUUCCCAAAUGUUUGUUUCUGUUUUUCUCUACAGACAAAUAAUAUGAAUAGUCUUUUGUAGCCGCAGUCCAAUUAAAGAUUGAAGUGGCUUUGGAGUUGGAAUGUGGCUCUCUCCUCUAAACCCAAGCAUACUUAUUUAUGAUUCCACCAGGACUAUGAUACUACCCCUAAGCUGAACAACACCAACUAAAGAUUGGCUUUGGACAAUCUCAAGGAUACCCUAAAGAUGUCAUUUCACCCAAACAGCAGCAAGCAAUUUAUGAAUACAGUGCCCACAUUCUGAAGAAGUGGGGUGGGUUUUUGAUCCUUUGUUGGGAUAGUAUAUGUGUCAUUGUUUAGGGGGAUUGGUUACAACUGGUUACAAGUUUAUUGCAUGGGAAUCAAGAUUCACUAGACUCAGUAUAGGUUAGGUGAAGGCUAUUUGGGGAGAAUGCACUUACACAAGAGGCAGGUGAGCACCACAGUUUCCAGCUCCAAUGAUCCACCCAGGCUAUUCUCCAUGACCCUACCUGAGGAGUGGAUGGGGAUGGGAUGGGGGGCUGGUGGGGGAAUGGAAGGACAGGAGGGAGAGGGAACUGGG